GAUGAACGCUGGCGGCGUGCCUAAUACAUGCAAGUCGAGCGAACAGAGGAGUAGCUUGCUUCUCUGACGGUAGCGGCGUGCGGGUUAGUAACACGUGUAUAACCUAGCGAUAAGACUGGGAUAGCUUCGUGAGAUCGGAGCUCAUACCGGAUACUAUAUUAAACGGCAUGUCUCAAUAGUGAAAGACGGCGUUGCUGUCACUUACAGAUGGGUCCGCGCGUGAUUAGCUAGUUGGUAAGGUAACGGCUUACCAAGGCAACGAUGCGUAGCCGACCUGAGAGGGUGAUCGGCCACACUGGAACUGAGACACGGUCCAGACUCCUACGGGAGGCAGCAGUGGGGAAUCUUGGGCAAUGGGCGAAAGCCUGAUCGAGCCACGCCGCGUGAGUGAUGAAGGUCUUCGGAUCGUAAAACUCUGUUAUUAGGGACGAACAGCUGUGUACGUAAAUAUGCACGUCUUGACGGUACCUUAACAGAAAGCAACGGCUAACUACGUG
rnacentral:rRNA from 1 species